CUAGUUCCAAUUUCGCGUAGGUGAGCAGGUUGUUUUCUGUGCUUCUGUGUGGCUCUGUGGCAUGAAAGUAGCAUCCACGGACCGCAUCCGCCAUCAAUUCUUCCUUAAUCCUGUGUGUAUGAAGCCUGUGCGCGUUUUUAUUAUCCGAGUAUAAAUGUACGGCGUGAUUCCGGGCGGGGCCACGAGAAACUCAACAGGACGGAGAGAGAAAGAGAAAGAGAGGGAGCGUGCGAGACGGGCAGGGAUUGAAAGAAUGUGGAAGCGAUCCCAAGAGUUCUAUCAUACUAAUCCCUUCGGCCAUGAGCUCGCUGACCUUCAAGCCUGAUUAAUACCCUUGGUGACGCUGACUGCAGCCCAACAACCAUACUAGGAAAACAGUGACAGAUGGGUUAAACGAACAAAACGUCCACGUCGAAGAAGACGACAGGAAGUGCUUACCACCAUUGCAGGAAGGUAAUGUCAGCACUUGGGUUUCUCACUGCCAUCAAAACUGAUGCGGCCUUGAAGGGAAAAUUGCUCGGCUUGGAGUCGAAUGUGGCAAGACACAAACAACACAUGAGAGUGGGCGGCCGGAGUUCAGCAGCGUGACACAUGAUGGAAGCCUUCGCUGCUUCUGCCAUUCAGCGUGAGCCUUACCUUGAGCCGGAGUACAGGAAGAGCACGAUGACUGCAGUAUGAACAUGGAGGCGUUUGUUAAAAGUGUGGCACUCUGAAGACCUGAAGAGAGCUGAAUAAAAAAAAAUAUAAUUUUAAAAAGCAAUUGAUUUAUUUUGAGUCUGACUUUCAUUAGUAAGAAUGGACAAAGAGAGAGAAAAGACAGAAAAGAUAUUUACUUUUUUUAAAACGUUUUAUGUCUUUCGACUUACCUUAGGAAAUGUGUUGUUACAGUAGCUUUAUCUCAUGCUGAAAAAUUUAGAAAAGGCAAGUGGGUUCUAGUCCUUUUUUAAAAAAAAUACACACACACACACACACACACACGUGUAUAUAUAUAGUGUAGGUAUUAAUCCAGUGCAGUGCGCCACAGCAAAGGGAAAAAUAAUGCAGACAAAUUGUUGAAUAACUCAGAACCACUCUUAUUCUUUUUUCACCCCCUCCGUAUUGGCUAUACUACACACAGUCUUUGCCAUAGCAACUGACUGACAACUACACGCCACUAAUGUUUCAGGAUUCAACACUAAAAGACACACAAAAGUUACCCACACAAAGAACAGAUUGUUCAGUCCAUUAGAAGAUCAGACUUGAUAUUUAUUUUGCAUUUAUUAAUAAGUGAUCGUCUGAACACAGCAGUGAUUGUUUCAGUAAUUUAAACGCCUGCUCUGCUGAUGAUCUGUCAGAGUUGGUAUGACGGUCACCUUUUUUUUUCUUUUUUUUUUUUUUACUGAACUGAAACACGGCGAAUUCCACAGCCCUUCUACAUGUUA